GUAGUGCUCAAUCUGACCAAAUUCUCAACUUGUUGACCUUAACAGGCCUGAAGCUUUGGAGAACUUAUUUGGGUGAGGGUUAUGUCUUAUUUCCGUUGCACUGCCAAGCUUUUAUGUUCAUUAAAGUUGCUGAACUGUGCUGUCCCUUGACAGCAGGAAGCAUAGGGUUUUUCCCUGCCAAGCAGGACAGGAUCCAGUGAGGCUGCACUCCCUGCUGUGGAUGCAUUUCACAACUGUAAAAAACAUCCAGAUUGUUUCCAGAAGCUAUUUGUGCUGAAAGAUUGUCUAGCCAUGGAUAUAUGUUGAGGAAAAAGUCUUAUCACACUGAGGUACUUUCAUCAACAGUAGCUCACAGAAUGGGACUGCACUGUUGCCAGAUCCAUAAUGCUGAAGGUCUCCUUUCAGAUGACUUUCAGGCAUUGAUUCCCUGACGGUUUUUGCUCUCAGAAAUGAGAAAGCACACAUAAGGAAAGAAACAGAUGAAUGAUUACAACUGAUCUUCAAAGGAAGUGGCACAGUAUUAACAUAUGAAUGGAAAUCUAAUGCAUAUUUUAGAUCAUCGAAAAGAACAAGCAAAUGUGAAGUACUUGAAUGAUAUUGGGCUCCAAAAAUCAUGCAUGCAUCUCAAGAAUCUGGAAAUGGACAGCAAAUAAGAGUCAGGCUGAAAUGUUUAUCCCUGAACAUCUGGGAGAAAGAAGCUGAUGGAAAGAUUUAAAUAGCACCUGAGGGUUUAUCUUGACUACCGGCAGAAAUGUUGGCCUUGUGAAGACUAACCCUGUAGAAACUGAAGAUACAAAACAAAAAAGGUUCGGAGUGCAGAAGUUACCACUCUGCUUGGCUUCAUUGAUGUUGGUGGCUUUAUGUGCAAUAAGGCUGGAGAAUGCUGGAGGUGAAGAGUGAAGCUCUCCAGAGGGAACAGACAGGACCUUCUUAUGAAGGAUUUCAGAUGGCAUGAGAAAUGAAAUGUAAAUGUGGCUCUACCAGCUAAAAGACAAGAGCAUUUACCACUGUGCCAGUGGGAACAGACCUAUGGGAACUUCCCUGUAGGAAUUAAAAAAGACAGCUCGUAGAAGAGUAAAUGAGAGAGACAAGAUAAACAAGGUUUGAGAGAUAAGAUAAGAAUGCUGUUAACUGCAGGUGAUUUUAAUUUAAAUAUCUGAAGCUACAGUGGUGAAAUAAGAAUAAAUUUCUUCACUUUUUUCCCCCCAUGUGUCAAGUAGUGUGAAAAUAAAUGAUGAGGUACACAAAAGAGUGUGCAGCAAUACAAAUAAUUAUUUGAAAAUUCCUGUGACUAAUAUUGGAUCAUGCACUUUGACAUGCAGGUUGUAAACCUUCUGAUCAAAAACUGUUUAUCUGAAUUUAUUGUAUGGAAAAAUAACUAAU
ensembl:lncRNA